rnacentral:rRNA from 1 species
UGGGGAAUAUUGCACAAUGGGCGCAAGCCUGAUGCAGCCAUGCCGCGUGUAUGAAGAAGGCCUUCGGGUUGUAAAGUACUUUCAGCGGGGAGGAAGGGAGUAAAGUUAAUACCUUUGCUCAUUGACGUUACCCGCAGAAGAAGCACCGGCUAACUCCGUUCCAGCAGCCGCGGUAAUACGGAGGGUGCAAGCGUUAAUCGGAAUUACUGGGCGUAAAGCGCACGCAGGCGGUUUGUUAAGUCAGAUGUGAAAUCCCCGGGCUGAACCUGGGAACUGCAUCUGAUACUGGCAAGCUUGAGUCUCGUAGAGGGGGGUAGAAUUCCAGGUGUAGCGGUGAAAUGCGUAGAGAUCUGGAGGAAUACCGGUGGCGAAGGCGUCCCCCUGGACGAAGACUGACGCUCAGGUGCGAAAGCGUGGAGAGCAAACAGG